AUCCAGCCGAUGAAACCCAAAUAGGACGAAACUCAAGUACUGGAU
rfam:Schistosoma mattheei strain Denwood, Zambia genome assembly, scaffold: SMTD_contig0005088